rnacentral:rRNA from 1 species
CCUACGGGGCGCAGCAGUAGGGAAUCUUCCACAAUGGGCGAAAGCCUGAUGGAGCAACGCCGCGUGGGUGAAGAAGGUCUUCGGAUCGUAAAACCCUGUUGUUAGAGAAGAAAGUGCGUGAGAGUAACUGUUCACGAUUCGACGGUAUCUAACCAGAAAGCCACGGCUAACGACGUGCAAGCAGCCGCGGGAAUACUUAGGUGGCAAGCGUUGUACGGAUUUAUUGGGCGUAAAGGGAACGCAGGCUGUCUGUUAAGUCUGAUGUGAAAGCCUUCGGCUUAAACGGAGUUGUGUAUUGUAAACUGGGAGACUUGACUGCAGAAGAGGAGAGUGGAACGCCAUGUGUAGCGGGGAAAUGCGUAGAUAUCUGGAAGAACACCAGUGGCGAAAGCGGCUCUCUGGUCUGUAACUGACGCUGAGGUUCGAAAGCGUGGGUAGCAAACAGGAUUAGAUACCCUAGUAGUC